GAGGGUACAGCUCAGUGGUAGAGCACAUACAUAGCAGGCACCAGGUCCUGGGUUCAACCCCCAGUACCUCCA
rnacentral:tRNA from 1 species